rnacentral:rRNA from 1 species
CAGUAGCCGCGGUAAUACGAAGGGGGCUAGCGUUGUUCGGAAUUACUGGGCGUAAAGCGCACGUAGGCGGAUAUUUAAGUCAGGGAUGAAAUCCCAGAGCUCAACUCUGGAACUGCCUUUGAUACUGGGUAUCUUGAGUAUGGAAGAGGUGAGUGGAAUUCCGAGUGUAGAGGUGAAAUUCGUAGAUAUUCGGAGGAACACCAGUGGCGAAGGCGGCUCACUGGUCCAUUACUGACGCUGAGGUGCGAAAGCGUGGGGAGCAAACAGGAUUAGAUACCCCAGUAGUCCCUGUCUCUUAUAC